CUAAAGACGAGGAUAACCAUUGGAAACAGUGGCUAAGACUGGAUAGGAAGAUAAAAGGCAUCUUUUAUCUUUUAAAAGACCUAGUAAUAGGUAUGCUUUAGGAGGGGCUUGCGCCAUAUUAGUUAGUUGGUAGGGUAAUGGCCUACCAAGACGAUGAUGUGUAGCUGGACUGAGAGGUUGAACAGCCACAUUGGGACUGAGACACGGCCCAAACUCCUACGGGAGGCAGCAGUAGGGAAUUUUCGGCAAUGGAGGAAACUCUGACCGAGCAACGCCGCGUGAAUGACGAAGUACUUCGGUAUGUAAAGUUCUUUUAUCAAGGAAGAAAAGCAAAUGGCGAACCAUUUGUUUGCCGGUACUUGAUGAAUAAGCCCCGGCUAAUUAUGUGCCAGCAGCCGCGGUAAGACAUAAGGGGCAAGUGUUAUCCGGAAUUAUUGGGCGUAAAGGGUGCGUAGGCGGUCUAGUAAGUCAGUGGUGUAAUGGCAACGCUUAACGUUGUCCGGCUAUUGAAACUGCUAAACUUGAGUUAGAUAGAGGCGAGUGGAAUUCCAUGUGUAGCGGUAAAAUGCGUAAAUAUAUGGAGGAACACCAGAGGCGUAGGCGGCUCGCUGGGUCUUAACUGACGCUGAGGCACGAAAGCGUGGGGAGCAAACAGGAUUAGAUACCCUGGUAGUCCACGCCGUAAACGAUGAGUACUAAGUGUCGGGUUAAACCGGUACUGAAGUUAACACAUUAAGUACUCCGCCUGAGUAGUACGUACGCAAGUAUGAAACUUAAAGGAAUUGACGGGACUCCGCACAAGCGGUGGAUCAUGUUGUUUAAUUCGAAGAUACCCGAAAAACCUUACCAGGUCUUGACAUGUUUUUGCAAAAUGAUAGUAAUAUCGUGGAGGUUACCAGAAACACAGGUGGUGCAUGGUUGUCGUCAGCUCGUGUCGUGAGAUGUUAGGUUAAGUCCUAAAACGAGCGAAACCCUUAUCGUUAGUUGCCAGCACGUUAUGGUGGGGACUUUAACGAGACUGCCAAUGAUAAAUUGGAGGAAGGUGAGGAUCACGUCAAAUCAGCAUGCCCCUUAUGACCUGGGCUACAAACGUGAUACAAUGGCUGUUACAAAGGGUAGCUGAAACGCAAGUUCUUGGCCAAUCCCCAAAAACAGUCCCAGUCCGGAUUGAAGUCUGCAACUCGACUUCAUGAAGUUGGAAUCGCUAGUAAUCGCGAAUCAGCAUGUCGCGGUGAAUACGUUCUCGGGGUUUGUACACACCGCCCGUCAAACCACGAAAGUUGGCAAUACCCCAAAAC
rnacentral:rRNA from 1 species